rnacentral:rRNA from 1 species
GGAUGAACGCUAGCUACAGGCUUAACACAUGCAAGUCGAGGGGAAACGAUGAGAGAGCUUGCUCUCUUAGUCGUCGACCGGCACACGGGUGAGUAACGCGUAUCCAACCUGCCUCUGACCAAGGGAUAACCCGUCGAAAGUCGGACUAAUACCUUAUGCAGUCGUCGGAAGUCAUCUGAUGACGACGAAAGAUUUCAUCGGUGAGAGAUGGGGAUGCGUCUGAUUAGCUUGUUGGCGGGGUAACGGCCCACCAAGGCGACGAUCAGUAGGGGUUCUGAGAGGAAGGUCCCCCACAUUGGAACUGAGACACGGUCCAAACUCCUACGGGAGGCAGCAGUGAGGAAUAUUGGUCAAUGGGCGUAAGCCUGAACCAGCCAAGUAGCGUGCAGGAUGACGGCCCUAUGGGUUGUAAACUGCUUUUAUGCGGGGAUAAAGUGAGGGACGUGUCCUUCAUUGCAGGUACCGCAUGAAUAAGGACCGGCUAAUUCCGUG